UACGGAGGGAGCUAGCGUUGUUCGGAAUUACUGGGCGUAAAGCGCGCGUAGGCGGCUUUGUAAGUUAGAGGUGAAAGCCCGGGGCUCAACCCCGGAACUGCCUUUAAAACUGCAUCGCUUGAAUCCGGGAGAGGUGAGUGGAAUUCCGAGUGUAGAGGUGAAAUUCGUAGAUAUUAGGAAGAACACCAGUGGCGAAGGCGGCCUACUGGUCCGGCACUGACGCUGAGGUGCGAAAGCGUGGGGAGCAAACAGG
rnacentral:rRNA from 1 species